GAUGAUCGCUGACAGAAUGCUUAACACAUGCAAGUCAACUUGAACUUCGGUUUGGGUGGCGGACGGGUGAGUAACGCGUAAAGAACUUGCCUCACAGCUAGGGACAACAUUUGGAAACGAAUGCUAAUACCUGAUAUUAUGAUUUUAGGGCAUCCUAGAAUUAUGAAAGCUAUAUGCGCUGUGAGAGAGCUUUGCGUCCCAUUAGCUAGUUGGAGAGGUAACGGCUCACCAAGGCGAUGAUGGGUAGCCGGCCUGAGAGGGUGAACGGCCACAAGGGGACUGGGACACGGCCCUUACUCCUACGGGAGGCAGCAGUGGGGAAUAUUGGACAAUGGACCAAGAGUCUGAUCCAGCAAUUCUGUGUGCACGAUGAAGUUUUUCGGAAUGUAAAGUGCUUUCAGUUGGGAAGAAAAAAAUGACGGUACCAACAGAAGAAGUGACGGCUAAAUACGUG
rnacentral:rRNA from 1 species